rnacentral:rRNA from 1 species
AGUGGGGGAUAACGUAGCGAAAGUUACGCUAAUACCGCAUAUGCCCUGAGGGGGAAAGGUGGGGAUCGCAAGACCUUUCGCUUUCGGAGUGGCCGAUAUCAGAUUAGCUAGUUGGUGAGGUAAAGGCUCACCAAGGCGACGAUCUGUAGCUGGUCUGAGAGGACGACCAGCCACACUGGGACUGAGACACGGCCCAGACUCCUACGGGAGGCAGCAGUGGGGAAUUUUGGACAAUGGGGGCAACCCUGAUCCAGCCAUGCCGCGUGAGUGAAGAAGGCCUUCGGGUUGUAAAGCUCUUUCGGACGGAAAGAAAUCCCAUUCGCUAAUACCCGGUGGGGAUGACGGUACCGUAAGAAGAAGCACCGGCUAACUACGUGCCAGCAGCCGCGGUAAUACGUAGGGUGCGAGCGUUAAUCGGAAUUACUGGGCGUAAAGCGUGCGCAGGCGGUUUUGUAAGACAGAUGUGAAAUCCCCGGGCUUAACCUGGGAACUGCAUUUGUGACUGCAAGGCUAGAGUGUGGCAGAGGGGGGUAGAAUUCCA